AAAAGAGCAGAUGACCAUUGGUCUACU
rnacentral:sRNA from 1 species